CUCAAGGGAUGGGAAGUGGCGGGCAGAGUGCCUCCCCCGCGCAUGUCAGGUUUCUGAUCCACCCCUAAUUUCAUUAUACACUGCUGCAUCUUAUUUGUCAUCUACUCACAACAUUGCAAGAUGUGGCAUGGCCUAACAGGAUGAGAUUACAAAGACUGAGGUGACAGAAUCUAGCCAUGUCGUGGGCAAGCCGGUUGGCAACAUUGUGACAUGACAUCAGUCGUGUGCGUUAAAAUCACGAACGACGGUGCUUGCUUUCAUAACCUAAUAUACUUCUCUCACAUGGAAAUUAUAUAAGUAUGGUUGUUUAUAACUGUAUGCACUGGACAUGUGUUCUAUCUCAGUAAUGUGCAUGUUUGCUGCAUUACUCAUUUACCCAUUCUGGUAAUUUUUUCUCUAAGUUUUUAGUCCACAAACCAAUGUUUAGUCUCUAGAAGAAAGUCAAGGUAUUAUGACGUAUAUAUGUCUCAUAUCCUAUAGAUUUUGGUCUGCCUUUUUCUUUGCUUACGGAGAUGCACCUGAUUAGUUUGUUUCACCUGUUUGAUAAAUAGUAUUCUUCACAAUAUAAUUUUAUUUCACGGUGUCUACUCAACGAAUUGCUUGCGAGUGUGUGUUUCACAAAUGGUGCAGAAUAAACUCCCAAUUAAAUCCUUGGAUAUAUAUAUAUAUAUAUAUAUAUAAUUUGCAGAGCUGCCCACACUUUAAAUUGCAACUGUGUGGUGAUCAGGACAUUCUGUGUUGCUUGGACAACCGAGCUGAGAUGGCGAUGCCACCACCUACUUGUAUCUGUACACGACCUCCGGUGAUGAUUUCUUUUCCAAAAAUGAAGAAGCUUGUCGUUCAACUGAUGACAAAACACCUAGAGUACGUGCAAAAAUUACUAUUUCCUCAUUUACAUCAAACUCAUUGAUACGACAAAGGGAAGAUUUUGGGUGGCAAGGUAUUUACCUAGAUCCUUGAGAUGUUAUUCAUAUUGGCCUGAAUGCAGUUGAAUUCUGAAUCAUAUAGAAGCUGGGAGAUUUGUCUUUCAAAUAGUAGGUGCUGAUGCUUAUGAUUUUCUUCAAAAAACAUAUGGGAAAGGCUAACUCAAUAUUUUAGUUUUCAUUAUGAGGACCAUGUACAUAAUCGACCAUAUAGUUCAAAAAAGAUCUAUUGAUGAAGGUUUGUUUGAGUUCCACUAUUUCAGUUCACACAUGUACAUGUUCUGCAUUUUUUGCAGUUUUCAGUGCAUGCUCGGAGAACUGGAUAAGAGGAGAGGCUUGAAUCUUGAGAUGACAAGGGUAGUCACCUACUGCGACUAAAGGUUCAGUUUCACACUUCUAAUGAUAUUGUUUGGAUGAUUGCCCUUGUACUAUUCUUUUUAGUACGUACUAAAAUAUCUUGUUGUACGAAAAUCUAAUUUCUACUAAAACUUUGUCAAGUGGCUCAUUUUUCUUGUACUAAAAUCUACAUUUUUUUACUGAUUACUGAAAUGUACCUUGUUACUAAAACUUCAUAGGAAGGAGGUCAAUGGAGCAAAAGGCACGAAAAGGAAGGAGCAGCACCACAGGGACGAUGUUGUCGGCAGCGCCUUUGGAAGGAUUCGCUCUAGAGAAGUUACGGUAGUCGGCCAUCGCCCAGGGGAAGCGGGGAGGAUGUUGUUCGGAACGCCUGGGUCUAGAGGAGUGUGUCCAGGUGGUCGCCGAGGAUGGCCACGAGCAGUUGGGUUGGGCAUUUGUCAACGUGAUGGCGUCGUUGCUCAAGGUACCAACACCCUUGUUUUGACCCAAUGUUUCUCAGCUAGCUGUGCAUGGCUGGGACUGUUUCGUGCAUCUGGGCGACGGCUCAUGCCAUCCACUUCCAAAGCAAUAAGGUAGCCAUCCAUGUCACUGUUGCUUGCUGUUAGUGUUUUUUUGGAUUCCAUAAGUGUUCCUUAAUGCAACAAUCAUUUUUCAAUUAGGACGGGAGUAUGAAAAAUGUUGUAAGGUUAUCGCCAUUUUUUUAAACUACAGAAGUCUGAAGAUUAGAAGCAUGAUCUUUUAUUUUUCAUGUUGCUCUACCUCUGUAGUGUCAAAUCGUAGGAACUUUUAUCACAUAUGUUUGUGCGCAGUAUGCUAAUUUAUCCUUGAUGGCAAAUAAUCCGGACAAAAUAUUCGGAAGUACUGGAGGCCUCGCCAGAGUAGGGGGGAAACUGUGGGAGUGGACGCACAUCAUGUAGGCGAGACGGCAGAGUUUGUGGUCGUACUGGCCAUGAGUGGGCAUAAACGAGUUUACACUAAUUACUUUACAUUAAUAUAUUGUUGUUUGCAGACUUGAAAGGAGAAAAUAUUGGCAAAAAGUCCCUCAAAAUUCAUUGUGUGGGUGUAGAAGGUUUGGGAAUUUUGAGCCGGAUGGGCCAUUGAUGGUUGCGGUUGGCUUGGAUAGGGAAGGUAGAGAUAGUAAGUGAAGAGGAGCAGGAGAACGAAGACGAAGAAGAAUAGUGGUUUAUAGGCAGAAAACAAUUAAGAAUGUUGCUUAAUGUGCAUGAGGAUCCAUACAAUGUAUAUUUGACACGAUUAAAGUUGACUCAUGUCGAGCCAGGGAAGGUAGAGAUAGUAAGUGAAGAGGAGCAGGAGAACGAAGACGAAGAAGAAUAGUGGUUUAUAGGCAGAAAACAAUUAAGAAUGUUGCUUAAUGUGCAUGAGGAUCCAUACAAUUUAUAUUUGACAUGAUUAAAGUUGACUCAUGUCGAGCCUCAGGGUGGUGGUGGACGGUUGGCUGCGGCCGCCGUGUAGUUGUGGAGCAGGUCCUGGGAGAGAUGUGGUUGGCGAGCCCGUGCCGGAAGAAAAGUGCCGCCGGUAGGCAAGGUAGGGUGGAUGGUGACCAUCACGCUAUUUUCGAGUGAGCGAGGCGUCCGCCAUCGCGCAGGCAAAGAAGUCGAAGCCUAGGUCAAGGUUGGCCACCGUGGUUGGCGUGAAA